rnacentral:rRNA from 1 species
AUUGAACGCUGGCGGCAUGCCUUACACAUGCAAGUCGAACGGCAGCACGGACUUCGGUCUGGUGGCGAGUGGCGAACGGGUGAGUAAUGUAUCGGAACGUACCUUUCAGUGGGGGAUAACGUAGCGAAAGUUACGCUAAUACCGCAUAUUCUGUGAGCAGGAAAGCAGGGGAUCGCAAGACCUUGCGCUGAUUGAGCGGCCGAUAUCAGAUUAGCUAGUUGGUGAGGUAAAGGCUCACCAAGGCGACGAUCUGUAGCGGGUCUGAGAGGAUGAUCCGCCACACUGGAACUGAGACACGGUCCAGACUCCUACGGGAGGCAGCAGUGGGGAAUUUUGGACAAUGGGCGCAAGCCUGAUCCAGCCAUUCCGCGUGCAGGAUGAAGGCCUUCGGGUUGUAAACUGCUUUUGUACGGUAACGAAACGGUUACUCUCUAAUUACAGGGGCUAAGUGACGGUACCGUAAGAAUAAGCACCGGCUAACUACGUGCC